GAACAUCGAUAAGAGAAUUUACAUUUAUUUAAAUAAAAUAAGAAAAAAAGAGAAUAAAUGAAUUGGGACUGAAGUUUAUUGAAAUUAUCAUUCACGGUUAAAUGGGUUGAAAGUUGAAAACAUUGUGAAAUAUGAAAGGAGGAUUAAAAUAGUGCAGCAAUGGAGGUUUCUAGCUUGAGUUGUAAAUCCACAGGUCAGAACAGCCAGGCAGGAGGUGGGGGGUUAGUUGGUGCUGAAAAUGCACCUUAUGAGCAGAUGCCGCAUUAGGUGUUAAUGCAUCAUUGGAGCAGGAGUUAGCCACAAUGAGUUAGCAGACAGGAAGACAGAGGGUAGAAAGGACUCUCUUUGAGCUGGAAGAACCUGUCGACUGAUGGAACAAGAUUUUUGCUUUCGCUUUUUAGCUUGAGAUAUUUUUAGGUUUUUAUUAUAGUUAUAUUUAGGUUUUUAUUCUACUUAUAUUGAGGUUUUUAUUAUAGUUAUAUUUAGGUUUUUAUUAUAGUUAUAUUUAGGUUUGUAUUCUACUUAUAUUUAGGUUUGUAUUCUACUUAUAUUUAGGUUUGUAUUAUACUUAUAUUUAGGUUUUUAUUAUAGUUAUAUUGAGGUUUUUAUUCUACUUAUAUUUAGGUUUGUAUUAUACUUAUAUUUAGGUUUGUAUUCUACUUAUAUUUAGGUUUGUAUUCUACUUAUAUUUAGGUUUGUAUUAUACUUAUAUUUAGGUUUUUAUUAUAGUUAUAUUUAGGUUUUUAUUCUACUUAUAUUUAGGUUUGUAUUAUACUUAUAUUUAGGUUUUUAUUCUACUUGGUUAAAGUAACAUUCUAGGGGGAAUUCUUAAGGUGACCUCAUUGAUAGAAGUAUGUUAAAGUAGCUGCUAGAGUUGUUUAUACAUUGUAGAAGGUAACCUGUUUUUCUUGUUAUUAAAUACUGUGUUUCUUUGAAAA